GUGAACGCUGGCGGCGUGCCUAACACAUGCAAGUCGAACGAUGAUAGGAAGCUUGCUUCUUGAUUAGUGGCGCACGGGUGAGUAAUGCAUAGAUAAUGUGCCCCUUAGUUCGGGAUAGCCACUGGAAACGGUGAUUAAUACCGGAUACUCCUUCUCGUUAUAAGACGAGUCGGGAAAGUUUUUCGCUAAGGGAUCAGUCUAUGUUCCAUCAGCUUGUUGGUGAGGUAAUGGCUCACCAAGGCUAUGACGGAUAUCUGGUUUGAGAGGAUGAUCAGACACACUGGAACUGAGACACGGUCCAGACUCCUACGGGAGGCAGCAGUGAGGAAUAUUGCACAAUGGG
rnacentral:rRNA from 1 species